UACAGAGGGUGCAAGCGUUGUUCGGAAUUAUUGGGCGUAAAGGGCGCGUAGGCGGUUCGGCAAGUCUCUAGUGAAAUCUCUGGGCUCAACUCAGAGUCUGCUGGGGAAACUGCCGGGCUGGAGUGUGGGAGAGGAGAGUGGAAUUCCCGGUGUAGCGGUGAAAUGCGUAGAUAUCGGGAGGAACAUCAGUGGCGAAGGCGGCUGUCUGGCCCAAUACUGACACUCAGGUGCGACAGCGUAGGGAGCAAACAGG
rnacentral:rRNA from 1 species